UCUGCAUGCAAGCAGCAAUCUCCUACCCCC
rnacentral:piRNA from 1 species